CACGUGGGAGCGCCGGGCUCCGUCUGCUGCAGAGCCCCCCGGUGGUGAAAGGUGCUGGAUUGACAAGGCACGGAGACGGAAAGGCCUCCGGGCUCCGCUGAAGUUUACAUUUACAAAGGACACAGAGAAUAAAUAGAAGACAGUGUUUAGAGUCCUCUGUAGACACUUCAGACUUGCUUAUAAUUCUGCAGCAAUUCCAUCACCUCUGAAGUGAUUGAUGCUCUCUAUAAAGUCGUGCCUUAAAACAUUUUCCUACGUGUCAGGGAGAGAAGUUUAUGAUGCUGUACGGAGGGCAGGAUGGUGCUGUGCAUCAGGGCUGCCUACCUGGGGCAGCUGCAAUGGGGCUGCUUUCACACACCUUCAUCCAACUGUUGUGUUCGUCUUUCUUUCUUUCCCCCCCCCCCGCCCCAAAGCUUUCAUUUGCAUUCGGUGGAACAGCAAAAUGUGUCUGAUCCAACAGAAAGGAAAUUAUGUUUUCCUUUCCAUCACCGCUCUCAUUGAGAAGAGGCUGCUUUGGGGCGGAGCUGCUCGCCUUGCUUUGGGCGUGAGGAAUUCUUUUUGUUGACGUGAGUGGAGAUUGCAGUGAAUGUGAUGGAGACAUUCAGCAGUGCUGAUGGGGCGGCCGGGAGAGUGGGAGCUCCUGACCUCUCACUGCCUUCUGUGGGGGGAAUGUGGGGCCAACCCACACUUGCUCAGCUCUAUGGGCUCCUGAAGCUGUCAGGAAGGGCGAAUCAUCAGUGCUGGGGGCAGACUGGGUUGCUGUAUGCACCACGAAGCCUUUCUUCCCCCUCCGCCCAGUGGCUUCUCAGCGACAGACGUACCCUCCUCCAAAGCCAGCACCUAAAUAUACUCCUUGCCCUAUUGCUGCACUCCGUGUGUAUCUUAGCAGUAAACAUUUCCACUCGUGCUCAUCUGCCAAACAGCAUUGCCUGUGCUGUGAGCUGUAUGUCUGGGUGGGCAGCAGCAGCAGCAGCAGCAGCAGGGAGGUUCCCUGGGCUGAUCCUGCAGGCUGAUCUGAGCCAUCCCAGCCGUGCUGAGCCGUACACCUGCAGCUCUGCUCCGUCCUCACCGCUGAGUGCAGCAGCUCCUGGAGCAGCAUCAGUGUGUGCGUUCUGCCACGCAGGCACGGGGCACAGGCAGUGGUUUGCUGCUCCUGCCUACAUCUCAUCCCCGUGGUAACUCUGUAGGGAGAAGCUGAUGUC
ensembl:lncRNA